AAUACUAAUAUUAGAAAUACUAGAAAUAAGAAACCUGGGAAUGAGGAUUUCCAAGAAUGGAACACUAGACGAAGUAAUAUCUGAGAGAAACAUCCAAAGAAAACCAAUAAUCUCAAUGUUAAAUAGGAUAUUAUCGAUUGAAAACAUAAAUGUGAAUAAUAAGAAAAUAAUUCACUCAAUAGUUAGGACAUAAUAACAUACAGCUCUGAAGUGAACAGCAGCUGGAAAAUCUGAAAGAGACAUGAUACCAAAUGAUACAAUAAGACAUAGAAUGGAAAUAAGACAUGAUAUUAUUGAUCUUAAGAACACAACAGUUGGUUUGGUACAGACAAGUCCAUAAAUACUUGUGAUACUAGGUGUGAUUUAAACAAGAAUAAUGUAGGUUUGAAUUAAAGAAAAACCAAAUUUAAAGCUCAAAUAGUUUGAAAUUUUCAGUUUUUUAGAUUGCCAUACUAAAUGAGGAACAUAUUCUGUGCCGUGGCUUAAAAAUUCAUCUUUAGAGAAGCUCAUUCGCUGAAAGGCUGAAAAUGGGAAAAAUGAAUGUAUCAUAACUGAUCCUUGGAGAGAUAAGGAGAAGAAGAUCCAUAAAUUUCAAGAUUUGGAGGAGUUUAGAACUAAAAAGAGGUAGAGCUCAAUCCUGAAAUUUUUCAAUAUUCUGGAUAUUAAAUGAUUGGAAGAGUGAAUAUCCUCCUUAGUGGAGAGUGAAAAAUCCGACUCGAAGAUGUUCUUCCACAUGCGCUGAUAGGCUAAGUCGGACCAUUUUUUUAAAUCAUUUAUUGUAAUAAUGUAUUUUGAACAGCAAUAAAAACUCAAUGAAUACAA